CCGCACCAAAAACGUGUUGAGGUAACAGUGCGACAUCAAUCCGUACCGUAUGAUAUUUCGUGAUUAGGCGCUCCUGCACAGAAAAGCAGUCCAGCAACAUUGGACUUCACCUCACCGGUAUUCCUCGUGUACGGCUUUCUAUGAUCAUCAUGGCAUCGACAUAUUUCGAGACCGUGGACACACAGCCAGCACAGAAACGUCAGCGGCGCCAGCGGCAUCAUCAAUGCUACUAGGACACGCACGGGGAGAGACCACAUCAAAGGUAUGCCAUCGCCAAGGCAGAAGUCAA